UACAGAGGGGGCAAGCGUUGUUCGGAAUUACUGGGCGUAAAGGGCGCGUAGGCGGCCCGCUAAGUCGAACGUGAAAUCCCCAGGCUUAACCUGGGAACUGCGUCCGAUACUGGCAGGCUUGAAUCCGGGAGAGGGAUGUGGAAUUCCAGGUGUAGCGGUGAAAUGCGUAGAUAUCAGGAAGAACACCCGUGGCGAAGGCGGUUCUCUGGGACGGUACUGACGCUGAGACGCGAAAGCGUGGGGAGCGAACAGG
rnacentral:rRNA from 1 species